GACGAACGCUGGCGGCGUGCUUAACACAUGCAAGUCGAGCGGUAAGGCCCUUCGGGUACACGAGCGGCGAACGGGUGAGUAACACGUGGGUGACCUGCCUCUAGCUCUGGGAUAAGCCUGGGAAACUGGGUCUAAUACCGGAUAUGACUCCACGGCGCAUGUUGUGGGGUGGAAAGCCUUGUGUGGCUAGAGAUGGGGCCCGCGGCCUAUCAGCUUGUUGGUGGGGUGAUGGCCUACC
rnacentral:rRNA from 1 species